GAGGAUGUAGUGUAAUGGUAACACGCCUGCCCUGGGAGCAGGAAUAGCGGUUCGAGUCCGACAUCUUCU
rnacentral:tRNA from 1 species